GACGAACGCUGGCGGCGUGCUUAACACAUGCAAGUCGAGCGGUAAGGCCCCUUCGGGGGUACACGAGCGGCGAACGGGUGAGUAACACGUGGGUGACCUGCCCUCAGCUCUGGGAUAAGCCUGGGAAACUGGGUCUAAUACCGGAUAUGACUCCAUGACGCAUGUCGUGGGGUGGAAAGCCUUGUGCGGCUGGGGAUGGGCCCGCGGCCUAUCAGCUUGUUGGUGGGGUGAUGGCCUACCAAGGCGACGACGGGUAGCCGGCCUGAGAGGGCGACCGGCCACACUGGGACUGAGAUACGGCCCAGACUCCUACGGGAGGCAGCAGUGGGGAAUCUUGCGCAAUGGGCGAAAGCCUGACGCAGCGACGCCGCGUGAGGGAUGACGGCCU
rnacentral:rRNA from 1 species